rnacentral:rRNA from 2 species
GGACUACCCGGGUUUCUAAUCCUGUUUGCUCCCCACGCUUUCGUGCAUGAGCGUCAGUAUUGGCCCAGGGGGCUGCCUUCGCCAUCGGUAUUCCUCCACAUCUCUACGCAUUUCACUGCUACACGUGGAAUUCUACCCCCCUCUGCCAUACUCUAGCCUGCCAGUCACCAAUGCAGUUCCCAGGUUGAGCCCGGGGAUUUCACAUCGGUCUUAGCAAACCGCCUGCGCACGCUUUACGGCCAGUAAUUCCGAUUAACGCUCGCACCCUACGUAUUACCGCGGCGGCUGGCAC